AAAGCCUUUAAUAUAAAGGCUCCAUUCCACCGCGGCGGACGCUGUGCACGGCCACGCGCACGCGUGGACGUGCACGGAUUUAUUUCUUU